rnacentral:lncRNA from 1 species
GUUGUACUCCUGUACAGAUAAAUUUGUACAUUUUAAAUGAGUCCAUAAGUCACAGAAAUCGCAUUGUAUCGCUUUCUGAUUACAUUUCACCGGCUUAUUACAAUCGGUACAUGGAUGUUUAAUUGGACCUGGAUUAUGAUGAAUAUCACCGCUAAGUAAAAUUGAUAAAAUAAAAAAUACUGAGAUGGAUUUUGUACUUUACGUUUUAUCGUUGUAGUUGUUGUUGGUCGGCCAUAUUGAGUAGUCGAGUUCACUCGGAUUGUUGGGAAAAGUUUUUCGAUGGCAAAAUUGUAUUUACCUAAAUUUGUUAUGUUUGAACACGAAUAAUAGCCAAGAUUUUCUGGCAGUUCAUGUUUAAAACCAAUUUUGAAGUCACUAGUUGGUGU